rfam:Picea glauca, whole genome shotgun sequence.
ACAUGCCUACAACAUAGUAUUAAUGCAUAGGAUCCCAUUAGAACUCCGCAGUUAAGCGCGCUCAGGCUAGAGUAGUACUAGGAUGGGUGAUCCCCCGAGAAGUCUUAGUAUUUUACAUGCC